UCGGUCCGAGAAAACCACAGUCUUUAGUUUCUGCACUCAGCUUUUCUAUUUUUCUUCAUUCCCCAGAAAACCACACACAAUCUCAUUAAGAAAAAAAAAAAAAAUCCAUGCUCCAUCUCCCUGCAUCUCUUACCUCUUCUCUUGCAAACAUAUGAAAGCCUAAGGAAAAAUUGCGUUUGAGGUGAGCGAUAGUUUUACAGAGGAGCUUCACUUGGAAAGUUUGCAGCAUCAAAUAGAAAGUGAUCUUAUGCCAAGUGCCCGAUGUGACCAAAGUGAUUCUUAUGGGAUUGGAAUGAGCUAGGGGUGACAAAUUGUGGAAAUGAGACAAAACUCCUAAGUGGAUCAGUUAUCGAGGUGGAUUGCCCAAGGCAUUAUAUGUGGUGAAAGAUGUAUUAACUGGAAUGAGAAAACAUGUUCAUCUGCUGGACAUAACAACUUUAUCACGACUCAGAAAAGAUGCACAUCCUGGCUUUUAUAAUGGCUUUAGGCGCAUGGACUGUAACCAUUGGUGUAUUGCUGGACUUCCAGAUACUUGGAAUCAACUUUUUAUGCAUUCCUCAUAAUUGUCAUGCUUGUUCUGGUAUUUUUUGUUUAUAAAAAUGAUCAUACGGUUACUUA